UAGGGAAUCUUCGGCAAUGGACGAAAGUCUGACCGAGCAACGCCGCGUGAGUGAAGAAGGUUUUCGGAUCGUAAAACUCUGUUGUUAGAGAAGAACAAGGACGUUAGUAACUGAACGUCCCCUGACGGUAUCUAACCAGAAAGCCACGGCUAACUACGUGCCAGCAGCCGCGGUAAUACGUAGGUGGCAAGCGUUGUCCGGAUUUAUUGGGCGUAAAGCGAGCGCAGGCGGUUUCUUAAGUCUGAUGUGAAAGCCCCCGGCUCAACCGGGGAGGGUCAUUGGAAACUGGGAGACGUGAGUGCAGAAGAGGAGAGUGGAAUUCCAUGUGUAGCGGUGAAAUGCGUAGAUAUAUGGAGGAACACCAGUGGCGAAGGCGGCGCUCUGGUCUGUAACUGACGCUGAGGCUCGAAAGCGUGGGGAGCAAACAGG
rnacentral:rRNA from 1 species